GAGCACAAGUGUGACUUCUGCGGUGUCUAAAUUCUUCCAGAAAAUAGUGUCUUCGAUUCUAUGGAGUGGAUGCUGUUUGUGGAAGCGAACGAGGAAUCCCGCGCGCGGCUUGUCCGACAACCACAACAACACUUGCUCGCCCGGAUCCGUGACACGGGAUUAAUCAAAUUCCAUUCUCUGAGCGAUUCGGCCACGAGACCCGGAAGACCGGCGGCCAUUGUGACGGGAAUGGCGUCAUCUGUCGUGGAUUUUCAGCUCGGCGAGACCUGUUCUCAAUUUUCUGAUGACGAGCAACACGCGGAGGAAUUUGUAAACGCAAUUGUCCAUUACUCAGACGUUUCACCAUUCUAUCUGCUGGACACCAGGAAACGAGAGCUAAGAAACGAAAGAACAAUGCAUUUCUAAUCGAGAUCCUUAUCACGUCGAAGAGCUCGCAAAUUUUCCAGGCCGACCGCACAAAUUGCCCGCGAAUUACGAAGCUGCGCGUAACAAGGAGCUCCGGCCAGUGACCCGCAGGAUCCUUCUUCUUCUCCACGGUCUUCCUCCGUCGGCGUGCGCUCGCAUAUACGAGCGAGGAAGGUGGCGGCAACGACACGUAGGGCACAGGUGCUGCGGCACGAUCGGUAUCGAGGCCAACCGAUCAUUGUAUCGACGACGAGAGUCCCGCCGAACGAAUUUCCAUAAAACGACCGCGAGAGAUAUACGGUAUUGUCCGGCAUCGGUCGCCGUCCCAUCCCUCAACCCCGGCCGCGGGAUCAAGAUCGAGAUUCCACCAGUGACCAGUCGGCGGCGACACGACGGAAAACCCGCGCCCCGUCCCCGUUGUAGUUAAAUUUCGAGCCCGCGGCCCAGCGUUCGAAAAACAUUCCUCGUUGACAAGCACAGAUGACGGGGCCGCAAUAUCGUGCUUCAUCAUCGUCAUACUCCAUUCUUCGUUCUAACAGAAAGCGAGGUGGGCAGUCGUUUCUCUUAGCCACCAGGAUUCUCGGUUAGGUGAUGUAGUGCGGCUGAGUGAUUUCACAAAGGCCCGGAGAGUUAGAGUUCCGACUCGUUAUGCCUAAAUAAUUUUUUUUCGUCGUUUAUAGCCGGCCAACACUCCGCCGGGGCCUGUUCGGGGCCCCGUUGUACGGCGAGGGGCGGCGCGGGAGGGGAGCAGGUUUAAGGGAAACGACACGGAGGAAAGAAGAGGCACGGGAGACGCAACCUGUCCCAUGCAUCUUGUGGGCAGGGGCGCUUCCGUCAGCAUCUACGGAUUCAUUAGAGAACAAUAGGAUGAUGAGUGCAGUCCGUGCGUUGUAACAGACUCGAGGGACGUUGCAUCGUGGAUAAGAAGGCUCGGCAGGAGGAAAGAACCGGAGAAAGAAGGAGGAGGAACGGGCACAAAGGAACGUAUGGUAAGGAGCAACUUGUACCCGUUUUCUUAUAAGGAUUUUCUUCGGAAUGCUGCAGCACUCGCGGGGAAAAAUCAGGUACGCUUCGCUCCUCCGCAAAAUUCUCGCGUCACGGAAAUAUCGCCUUUCGUGCGGAAAAUAUUAAUGGACAAUUAAUGAACUCUCGUACAUACAUUUAUGGCGUUCUUGGUAUCACGGCGAUGCUAUGCCCGUGCGUAAUCGUGUUUAAUAAUUUCGUUUGUACCGAUUUGAGGAAAAUAAUCGCACACAGUGACCAAAAUAUUGCAGACAAAUCAUGCAACUUUUACUCAAAAGUUCGCACUCGAAUGUCGACGAUAUUCACGACAAAAGAAUUAUACUAUUAUAAUUAUAUAUUAAUUUUUAAUCUUGGUCAAAAAUUGCAAGCAUAUGAUUUGAUUAGAAAUUUGAUUAAAAAAUAAGAAAUAUAAAUAAGAAAUAUUCUACAAGAAA